rnacentral:rRNA from 1 species
GACGAACGCUGGCGGCGUGCCUAAUACAUGCAAGUAGGACGCAGUUGCGAACGGGUGAGUAACGCGUAGGUAACUGCCUAUAAGAGAGGGAUAACUAUCGGAAACGAUAGCUAAUACCGCAUACUCGUAGAUGGACCUGCGUUGUAUUAGCUAGUAGGUUGGGGAAUGGCCUGCCUAGGCGACGAUACAUAGCCGACCUGGGAGGGGGAUCGGCCACACUGGGACUGAGACACGGCCCAGACUCCUACGGGAGGCAGCAGUAGGGGAUCUUUGGCAAUGGGGGGAACCCUGACCGGGCAACGCCGCGUGAUGGAAGAAGGUUUUCGGAUCGUAAAGCUCUGUUGUUAAGGAUGCGGUACUUAACCAGAAAGGGACGGCUAACUACGUGCCAGCCGCCGCGGUAAUUC